rnacentral:rRNA from 1 species
GCACCCGCGGUAAUUCCAGCUCCAAUAGCGUAUAUUAAAGUUGUUGCAGUUAAAAAGCUCGUAGUUGGAUUUCUGCGAGGGUGCCAAUGUCCGCCGACGCGCGUGCGCAGCGGCGCCCUCGCAUCCUUCUGUUACCACCUCUCGGCAUUCACUUGCCGGUGGUAGGCUCAGAGAAUUUACCUUGAGAAAAUUAGAGUGUUUCAGGCAGGCUAGGCCGGAAUACAUUAGCAUGGAAUAAUGGAAUAGGACUACGGUCUCGUUGUUGGUUUGAGGGACUGCAGUAAUGAUUAAUAGGGAUAGUUGGGGGCAUUAGUAUUUAAUUGUCAGAGGUGAAAUUCUCAGAUUUGUUAAAGACUAACUUAUGCGAAAGCAUUUGCCAAGGAUGUUUUCAUCGAUCAAGAACGAAAGU